CAGUCAAAGAGCACAGGAGCAUGGUGCAGGGUGUGUGUGAGACGCUGUCUCUGGUGUCCGCAGAACAGAAAUCACUAUCAACACAACAUUAAACUUUACCUCAUUGGUGAGACACAACUGAAGGGUCAAAUCAGCUUCCCAUUUGGAUCCAUCUUUAAAUCUAAACCUCAGUUUAUAAAGGACUUCAGGAGGCAGAGCUGGAACAUCUGAAAACAUCAUAAUGUCGUAUGACCGGAUUCUGUCCAUCGAAAAUUUGAGUGAAGUCCCAAAUCCAUGGAAGGGAUUCACUAUGAACCGCUGCCUAGUGCUGGCACUGGUUGUAGUUCUCGUGAGCUCAGGGGUUAAUGAACUGCAUGAUGCAAUGGACUCUUUUGUUGAGGAGACGGGUAUAAGGUCGUUCUUGGGAAGUCUGCAGGAUGGAUCAAUAACCACAUCAAUAACUCAGUUCUCUAUAUGGGACAACUUGAUGUGGUGGUGGGGAUCUGAAGAAGUUGGAUUGAUAAGAAGAAGAAAAAAGCCGAUUGGCAGCAAAACAGUCCUGAAACCAAAACCUAAAGUAUGAUCUGAAACACAGAUGUCAACAGAAGGUUUCUGAAUAAAGAACACAGAUGAUCUUCAAUAUAGUUUGUAUUUAAUGGUAUAAAGAUACAGAAUGUUACAUUUAAUCAUGUUUUGUUUGUAUUGUAGAGAACACCAUUUAAUUAAUCAGGCAGGAUGUGUUUUAAGGGACUGUUCGUUACUUAUGAGGGGGGAGGGGUAUAGCUAUAAAUGGUUGUAUUUUGUAUUUAUUGUAUAUACCCUCUAGACCCAAAAACCCUCCUGUGGGUUUGAAAGGCAUGUUUUCCUUUAAAUUUGCCAAAAUGACAUCAUUUAUCACAACCAGAAAUUGCUCCAUACCUACAUUUGCUGUGAAUAUGAAAGACAUGUGGUUAUUUAUGGUGGAGGACGGGUAACGCAUAUUUCCCCAGUCACUCAGGUAGGCUCAAGGAAAUGUAUCUGUAGCUUCGAGGGGGAUCGAGAUUAAAAACAAACAAACAAACAUGAAGUCAGCCAACCUUCUGCUCUGAUAAGUACAGAACAGUCCCUAAUCAGAAAUGUUUAUCAGUCAUGAAGUUAUCAACAAUUUGGUCGUGUUAAAGCAAUAUUUUCAUUGAUAACUGGAAGUUAAAUUAAAGCACAAACAGUGGUCUUAUGUAUCAUAAGAUAUUUGUCCUGGCUUCUUGUUAAAACAACCUCUUAGAUGAUAGAAAAAAUAAAACAUUUACAAAGGAA